CUGUCCCCAGAAGCAUGAAAACAUGGCAGACGGAACAUAAAUGGACAAAAGGAGACUAAAGCUGAAGAGAAGAGAUUACAGAACUAGAAGCUACCAUAUACUAAGUUACAGAAGAGUGGCCAGCUUUGUCACCUUGACACUACUCGGAAUCACCUAGGAAGAGUCUCAGCGAGAGACUGUCUGACUACAGUGGGUUGACGUGCUUGAUGUAACCAGCCACCUCCCGCUCCAGCUUCCAUGCCUUUGCCGCCAUGAUGGGCCACGCCCUUAACCUCGAGCAAAAACUAAGCCUUCCUUCCAUUGCUUUUUGUGAGGUAUUUGAUCACGGCAAUGAAAAGAGAAACCGAUACAGCAUUUUCUUCACUCGCAAACAGAAAGGGCGUCAUGGAUAUAGAGACACCUCUCAUCAAAUGACCCAUUAACGCAAUGCCAGGCAAAUGAGAGGUGGCCGGCAACGGCAACAGGCAAAACCACAAAGAGAAAACCGGAGGUCCAACCGUGGGAAGCUAAGCCUUGUGACUACCUGCUCAGCACAGAUUCGAACAUUGCUUCCAGACUUCCAAGUUCUGCAUCUCUGAGGAGGUUAACUAAUCCCUCAGGGCCCCUGUCUCCUCCUCCGUGAAAUGGGGUUAGCUAUGCCAGCUUUCAGGUUCGGGGACCAGCAAGGACAUCUGUGGUACCUGAGUCCUGAACUCCUAGCCCAGGUCCGACUGACAAGAUAGUAGCCUCCUGAAUCCAUCCCCUUCCUAUCCGCAGGGAAAGCUGACUCUCCAGUGGAAAUCGGCUUGCCUGGGGUCAGACCAGGCCUCAGGGUUCCGGUUUAUGACACUGGCCACCGCUUAAGACUGCAGCCCACUGCAGUUUCCUUCUCAUGGAUCAGUUAGCGUGUGGGGAAGUGGGGUGCGUUUAAAUAGUCUCUCCCAGCAUCUGUCGGUCUUGUCCCUAGAUCAAGGUCAAAGCCAUGCAUUGAAAAGACAGCGGCUGCCCUCUCUGUUCCUCUCUUCCUCCCUCCUACCCACCCUUUCUCUCCCGCAAUGCUCAAUACAGCUCAGUUCCCUUCUGCUGGGACAGUGGGGAGUGUGAUGAUUCGAAUAGAAUGAGCCCCUUCCUGGGAAAGAGUUGGGCAGGAUGGUCUUCACUCCUCCAUGCCCAGAGCCUGGCCCCCUGCCUUUACUCUAAGGGACAACAAUGGCUUCUCUUGUACCCUGCACAGGUGGCUGACCUGCCCAGCAUGGACACCACCUGCCACCCUCUCCCCUGCCCGUGGGGGACACUCAGCCAAGAGACCCAGCCUCACAGGGGCUCAGGGUGGCAGAUGUGAACUAUGUCCCAGUUCAGAUCUCUUGGGCCUACCUCUUGCCACCGUGGACCACAUGACAUGGGAUGCCCUCAGAGUUACUAUGCGCGCAUAUGCGCGCGCGUGCGCGCGCGCACACACACACACACACACACACAUGCAUUCUCUACUCUAGGAUGGCACAGGUGCAGGGAGCGGGUGACUGAGGAAGCCUUUGGACAGAGGCAGAUGGAAGCCAGUGGGGAGCCACUUCCCAUCUUCCUAGCAAUCUGGAGAGACGUGUUCCUUGCUUCUUAUAAGUCCUCCAGGACCCAGCGACCAAUCACCCACAGCAGGGACCCUUCCACAACAAAACUCAUUACCCUCCCAAACCACUGUGGCU
ensembl:lincRNA Gm13016 predicted gene 13016